ensembl:lncRNA
CCUCCACACUGGCCCCUGAAGCGGAGCUGAGUGCAUCAGGCAGCAGAUGGGUUCUUCCAAACAGCUGGUCUCUGCAGACUCUGACCCAAAGCGUGUGUGUUGGGAAGAGGCCGUUAAUCUGAUUUGGGGUCACGGUCAGAGCCGACAGCUCCAAGGACAGAAACCCGGGAACUUGAGAUGUUGCUCAUGGUGGGCUCUUUGAGGCUGAGCAUGCUCAAGUGGGCACUGGAAUGACGGUCACUCCACUCCCUGGCACGGUGGCUGUGCCAGGGCUCUGACCCCACCUUCCCCGCAAACUCCCAAGUCUGCUUUUCUCCCCCUGUCUGGCUGCAACCUCCCUUACCUCAGGAAAACAUCCAUAGUUCGUUGGCUUGGAAAUCAUCUCCUCCUCUUCAUCAGGGCUGCCCUGGUACAGUUGUGCCGAUACAAGCUAUUAGGGUGAGCUCCCAUAUGGAGCUCAAAACUUUACACCAUGAGACUUCCUGGUGAUUCAGUGGCUAAGACUCUGAGCUCCCAAUGCAGGGGACUGGUCCCUGGUCAGGGAACCAUUAAGAGAUCCCAUGUGCCGUAACCGAGGAUCCCAAACACCAUAAGGAAGAUUGAAGACCCUAGUGCCACAACGAAGACUCAGCACAGCCAAAUAAAAGUUGUUGAAAAGCCAGCCAGUACGUCCAGCCGAGACACUCCGCCAGACCUGAGCCCCCGCCGCGGGCAGCUCCAUCCAGUCAGUCAUCCUGCCCUCCUCCAGGACCUGAAGUUCUAGAAGACUGCACAGAGCGAGGACUUUCAAAUUCAGGACCCAAACAGCCAUUUCUGCUGAUGUAGUUAUUUCUGGCCCCAGGCUUGCACACAGCAGGAGCUGGGCCACAUCACUGAAAGCCGUCAGCCUGCUGCCAGCUCCUGGUGCCAGAUGUCCUUCACCCACUGUUCAGCCUUUGUCAUCUCGCCUCGCCUCCCUCGUUAUCUGUGUGCUUUAAAAUAGACAGGCCGGAGGAGGAAUGUUACCCAGCUACUGAGCUGUGGCCGGCCCAGCCUGCAACCCCCGAGAGCCUCCAGAGCUUUCCCCUCGGGGAAAAGCUCCACCUGCUCAGCCGUCUUUCUCUUCUCGAACAAAGACAAAUAUUUCCAGCCCAGAAAAACCAUCCCAGCCCUUCCAGCCAAGAGGAGAGGAGGAAGGAGGGUUAGAAAGGGUUUCUGUAGCUUUUUAUUUCCUCUGUCAAGCCCCUGCCAGGCGUCGGGGGACCCUCAGGCCACCCAGACCAGGCUGCCGGGGGUUGACUUGUCAGGAGGCAAGAUCUGCCCAUGCAGGCUUUUCUAUACAUAUGCCUUAUUUUUCUUUAAUCUUUUUAUUUAUUAACUUAUUUAUUUGGCUGUGUAGGGUCUUUAGUUGUGGCAUGUAGGAUCGUAGUUCCCUGACCAGCGAUUGAACCCGGGCCCCCUGCAUUGGGAGCACAGCGUCUUAGUCACUGGAUCACCAGGGAUGAUCACCCUGCGAUGCCUUAUUUUUACAGUCAAGGAGCUGAGACAGGAAUUAGCCCCAUUUUCCAGAUGGGAAAAGAGAAGCCUAAGAAAUAAAAUCAUUUGCUCCUCCUGGAGAGUGUACCUGAUAACCC